rnacentral:lncRNA from 10 species
AAAAAAAAAAAAAAAAAGGAAAGCCUUGGCUAGGGCUGUGAACAGCUGCCCAUGACAAAAAUACUUCAGUGUCCAGUUUUGUUUAUCAAUAACACAUGAAGGAAAUAGGAGAAAUACAUUAGGCCAGGCCUAGAAUGAAACAGGUCUUCUAGGCUUGUAGUCUGCCCUUCUUGUGUUCUGUCUUCGAACAUUCAUUUAUUCGGCACAUCUUGUCUGUGCCCUACCACGUGCCAGGCACUGAAGAUUCAGCAGCUCAGGGCUACACGGGUCUUCCAUUCUGUUGACAUCUCUUUGCCACUACCAAGAUGGAAAAUGUUGUGGUAUCACUUAUUUCCCCUUGCUCAUUAGUUGCCUGAUUAGACAUCAGAACCUCUGAGUUUCAGUCAAAGGGCUGUCUAGACUCGGAGCUUUAAGCCUUUUAAUUGUGAAAAUGACAUCACCAGUAAAGGGCCUGGCCUGGUGCUUGGCACACAGUAGACCGUCCAUAAAUGUCUGUUUUUUUGAGACCUUGGCAAAGAGGAGGAUUGAUGUGGGAGGUGGCGCAGAAGGUUAGAUUUUUGUCAUUUUAGAGAGAUCUGAGCUAGAUCAUUCAUUCAACAAAUAUCACUGUUGCACUAGGCUUUGAGAUAGAAGAGUGUGCAACGCACAGAUUAAGCCUCAAAGGGAUGAGGCAAGGUAUAAGAGAAACAGACUAGCAAACAGGCAAUUGCAACACAGUGUGAUAAGUGCUAGAAGGGGAAGUACAGGAUGUUUCUUAGCCACAAACAAGGGGCAACUAACCCAGGCUGGUGAGUGGGGGUGGGGGAAGCAUCAAGCAAGGCUUCCUGGAGGAAGUAGCAUAUGACCUGAGACUUGACGGAGACCUAGGCAUUAGGAAGGUUCAGUUGUCGGCACUGGAGAAAUCACACCAAGAAGGGUGCAGAGACCCAUUGCAAGUGACUUGGGAAGAGGAAAACUCAGUCAUGGGCAGACACCCAGUUAAAUGGAAAGCAGAGUUAAAGGAGGACAGCGGGAAGAAUGAGAUCUUGAAAAAUCCAUCAGCAAUUUCGGGACGAUAACAUGUGCACAGAUGAUAUUUUUUAAAAACCUGGGAGAAAGGAGUCAGUGGGAGACACAAUUUGAGAGCUACUGUGGCACUCUGGGGACCAAACUAAAGUGUUUGCACCACAUGCUGGGGUAAUUCAAUCACUCAGCAAGCACUGUUUGAGCACCUGUGUUUCUCUGGCCACACUAGUCUCCCUGCUGUUCCUUGUCCUCACCAGGCAUGCUUCCCUACUCUGCCUUUAAUCUGCAGGGGGAUUAUCAUAGCUCAUUGUAACCUUGAACUCCUGGGCUCAAGCGAUUCUCCCAUUUCAGCCUCCCCAAUAGAUGGGACUACAGGCCUGCACCACCAUGCCAGGCUAUUUUUUUUUCUAUUUUGGUAUAGGUGGGGUCUCACUAUGUUGCCCAGGAGGUCACUAUCUCCUGGGCUCAAGCCAUCCUCCCGCCUUGGCCUCCCAAAGUGCUAGUAUUACAAAUGUGAGCCACCACACCCAUCCAGAGUUCCCCUUUUUUUUGAGGGCUUCCCCCUACUCAGUAGCACCAUUGUCUUAGGUCAUUUUCUGUUGCUGUAACAUAUACCACAGAUUGGGUAAUUUAUAAAGAAAUUUAUUUCUUACAGUUCUGGAGGCUGUAAAGUCCACAUCUGGUGAGGGCCUUUUUGCUGGUGGGAACUCUCUGAAGAGUCCCCAGGUGGUGCAGAGCACCACAAGGUGAGGGGACUGAGUGUGUUAGCUCAGUUCUCUCAUCCUCAUCUUAUGAAGCUGCUAGUCCCAUUCCUGUAGCAACCCAUUAGUCCAUCAACCCAUGAAUCCAUGAAUGGAUUUAUCCAUUUAUGAGGGCAGAGCUCUCAUGACCCAAUCACCUCUUAAAGGCCCCAACUCUGAAUAUUGCUACAUUGGGGGUUGAACUUCAACAUAAGUUUUGGAGGGGACAAAUAUCCAAGCCCUAGCAACCAUUUAGCAAAUGCGUAAACAAGCUGCAAUUGUGGUGACAAGAGAAGGCACAUCACCCUGGAAAGGACCCUGUCUCAUUUUUCUUUGUUUUUAUUUUUUAUUUUUAUUAAGAUUAUUUUUUAGAGAUGUGGUCUCUCCAUGUUGCCCAGGCUGGCCUUGAACUCCUAGCCUCAAGUGAUCCUCCUGCCUUAGCCUCCCAAAGUGCUGGGAUUACAGGUGUGAGCCACCAAGUCCAGUUUAUCUCAUUCAUCAUUGUACCCCAGUGCUAGGCACAUAGUAAGCAUUGAGGAAAUGUUGAAUGAAUGAAUAUCAUUUUUAAGCACUGAGGAAACCUAUUUUUAAAAUAGUAAAUGUUAUUAUCACAACUUUGUAAAAAGUGCAUUUUAAAAUGUUUCUAAAAUCCACUAAUAAAUACCAACAGUAAGCCGGACAUGGUAGUGUGUCCGUAAUCCCAACUACUCAGGAAGCUGAGGCGAGGAGGAUCACUUCAGCUUAGGAGUUUAAGGCUGCAGUGAGCUGUGAUUGUGCCACUGCACCCCAGCCUGGCCAACAGAGCAAGACCCCGUCUUUAAAAAAAGUUGUAAAAAGAAAUACCAACAGCAGUUGAAUGGUGGAGUUCUGGGAAAUCUUUCGUUAUUUCCUUUUCUUUUCUCUUCCUUCCUUCCUUCCUUCCUUUCUCUUUCUUUCUUUCCUUUUUUUUUUUUUUUGACAGUGUCUUGCUGUCGCCCAGGCUGGAGUGCAGUAGUGCAAUCUUGGCUCGCUGCAACCUCUGCCUCCUGGGCUCAAGCACACCUCAACCUCCCUAGUAGCUGGGAUUCCAGGCGCAUGCCACCACGCCCAUCUAAUUUUUCUAUUUUUAGUAGAGAUGGGAUUUUGCCAUGUUGGCCAGGCUGGUCUUGAACUCCUGACCUCAAGUGAUCCACCUGCCUCGGCCUCCCAAAGUGCUGGGAUUACAGGCAUGAGCCACUGUACCUGGCCUUUUUCUUUCUUUUCUGUAUUUUUCCCAUUUUGUGUACUAUAGCAACAUUUUUAAUAAUGAAUAAAGUAUAUUUUAGUCCCAUCCACACCUUCCUUCCUCCCAAAAAAGGAAUUGUGAGAAUUACAAUUUACAACCUAAUAUUUUAAAAGUCUUGUGCCAUGUAAAGUGUAAAUGACGAAGACUGAGAAACCAUGACCUGAACUUUAUAAUGCAAUGAAAUAAAGUUUACCACACUCUGACGUGUCUGACAAUAUGCAUGAGGAUUGUGUAGCUGGGCAUGACCAACAAUUCUCAUAAAACACUGUGAUUGGUAUUACUUGAAACAGCCAAACUGGCCUCUGUCAGAUGCUUGGGGAAGGGAGGCGGGAACUGGAUGGGGUGUGUGUGGCUCUGUUGGCCUCAGAAGACCCCUGGAUCCAUAACCCAGGUAUGCCACUUUGCUGGCAGAGAAGGCCAGGACCUGGGAGCUCCGAGGACCUCCGGCUGACAGAUUUGCAGCCUCCAAGUGGGGCUGGUGCUGCACAGGCUUCACAAAGGAGCUUUUUACCACAACAGGAACGGCACGAACACCCCAAACUCUGCUUUCCUUCCCUUCCCAGCCUUCUAGAUAUGGAGAGUUCAUAAGGAUACUGCCUGAAAUGUCAUCAAUAAAAAUGUGUUGGGCAGCAGAACGAUUGCCUUUGAGAGGGCUAGAGGAGAGAAUAUUCAUUCACACAACAAAUGUUUAUUGAGAAUCUACUAUAUGCCAAGCAUAAGGGAGGUCCUGUGCAUACAUGGUGUCAUUUCCUUGCAUCAGCCUGAUGAAGAUGCUAUUAGACCCCACUAUACAGAUAAUGAAACAGGCUGGGAAAUGUUAAGUUAGUGACACUGAGUCACACAUUUAAGUAAGUGGUGGUAGUGGGGAGGGAGGUGGAAAGGGAGGGAGGAGGGACUCAAACACAGCCCCAUCAGAGGUGGAGAGCCUCUCUUCCCACAUUGCGCAUUGCACAACAGCAGAGGUUUCCAGACUUCAUGCUUACAGCCUUUGUGACCAUCAGCAGCUACUCUGGGUCUCGGUCUCCUUGUUUAUAAAAAUAAAGUGCUUGAAUGGCUCACACCUGCAAUCCCAGCA